rnacentral:lncRNA from 1 species
CAAGGAAACAGCAGAGGAGGCCAGGUGGAAAGAGGCCUGAGCAGGGGUGAAGAGAAGGCUGCGAGGGUCUAAAGCUACAGCUGAGGGGCACCCGAGGACCUGAACCCCUCCUCCACCCUUCCAGUUUGUAGCACGGGAGCCUGGGUCCUGAGCGAACCUUGGUAUUUCCUGAGCCCUCCCCUCAGUCCUGCAGGGGAGCUGGCCAAUGCAAGAUGAUGUCAGGAGCCAGAUUCCCUAAGGUGCGGCCAGCCAGCCAGGCUGCCGAAUAAAAUGAACAAUCCCCACGACACUCUUGCAUCUGCGGCGGUAGCCAGCGCUUUGCCCCUUUCUUGGACCCACCUGAGGGUCAGAGGUCAGUGGGUGAAACAGCAGAGAAACGAAGCACUGAAGGCCCAAACUCCGGUCUAGUUUGCUCCUGUUUCUCCAUCCUGACUGUAGGCUAUGAUCUGCGGGGAGGUGGAGGGCUCAGAAAGGAAUCUGGAAAUGAGGGGAGACAGAUUUUUUUCUGCAUAUGAAAAAGUCCUAUGAAAAGGACGGCAAGCUGAGGCUCUGAAGCUCAGGUCUGUCCAGCCUACAGCACAGGAUUUACUUCUCAGCACGUGGCGUGUGCUGAUUCUCAGGAGCCGCAUGCGCAAGUGACACUCUGUUCUGUCCGGUGCACUAAGGCAUGCGGUUCCGAAGAUUGUGUUUUCUGCUCUUUCUUUGUGAUAAACUGUUUUGAUUUCAAAGCAUUCCCUUACC